AGAGUUUGAUCCUGGCUCAGGACGAACGCUGGCGGCGUGGAUUAGGCAUGCAAGUCGAGCGACGAACCUUCGGGUUACGGAGCGGCGAACGGGUGAGUAACACGUGAAUAACCUACCCUCUCAUUCCGGAUAAUUGGCCGAAAGGCCUUGUAAUACGGGGGAGGUUCCCAUUUAGGCAUCUUUAAGGGAACGAACAAGCAAUUGGUGCGAGGAGGGGUUCGCGGAUUAUCAGCUAGUUGGUGAGGUAACGGCUCACCAAGGCUACGACGAUUAGGUGGUCUGAGAGGAUGGUCACCCACAUUGGAACUGAGAUACUGUCCAGACUCUUACGGGAGGCUGCAGUCGAGAAUCUUGGGCAAUGCACGAAAGUGUGACCCAGCGACGCCGCGUGGAGGAUGAAGGCCCUCUGGGUUGUAAACUCCUUUUACGGGAGAAGAAUCAAUGACGGUAUCCCGUGAAUAAGCCACGGCUAACUACGUGCCAGCAGCCGCGGUAAUACGUAGGUGGCAAGCGUUGUCCGGAUUUACUGGGCGUAAAGCGAACGCAGGCGGACUGUUAAGUAGGAAGUGAAAGGUCGGAGCUCAACUCCAACAUUGCUUCCUAUACUGGCAGUCUUGAGUAGCGGAGAGGAAGGGGGAACGACACGUGUAGCGGUGAAAUGCGUUGAUAUGUGUCGGAACACCCAUGGCGAAAGCACCCUUCUGGACGCAAACUGACGCUCAGGUUCGAAAGCCAAGGUAGCGAACAGGAUUAGAUACCCUGGUAGUCUUGGCCCUAAACUAUGUUCACUAGGUGUCGGGGGGUUUCCCUCGGUGCCGCAGCUAACGCAUUAAGUGAACC
rnacentral:rRNA from 1 species